rnacentral:tRNA from 1 species
GGGGCUGUAGCUCAGCUGGGAGAGCGUCGCGUUCGCAAUGCGAAGGCCAGGGGUUCGAUCCCCCUCAGCUCCA